rnacentral:rRNA from 1 species
UACAGAGGUCCCAAGCGUUGUUCGGAUUCACUGGGCGUAAAGGGUGCGUAGGUGGCUUGGUAAGUUCGAUGUGAAAUCUCCGGGCUUAACCCGGAAAUGGCAUUGAAUACUAUUGAGCUGGAGGUUUGGAGGGGGGACUGGAAUUCUCGGUGUAGCAGUGAAAUGCGCAGAUAUCGGGAAGAACACCAGUGGCGAGGGCGCUCUACUAGGCCGUGACUGACACUGAGAGACGAUAGCUAGGGGAGCGAAUAGG